GAAAGAGCUUCUCCGAAAAUCCAUUCAUUUUUCCGGAAUCGUUUACGUUCCGGCUUA
rnacentral:sRNA from 1 species